rnacentral:rRNA from 1 species
GACGAACGCUGGCGGCGUGCUUAACACAUGCAAGUCGAACGGAAAGGCCCUGCUUUUGUGGGGUGCUCGAGUGGCGAACGGGUGAGUAACACGUGAGUAACCUGCCCUUGACUUUGGGAUAACUUCAGGAAACUGGGGCUAAUACCGGAUAGGAGCUCCUGCUGCAUGGUGGGGGUUGGAAAGUUUCGGCGGUUGGGGAUGGACUCGCGGCUUAUCAGCUUGUUGGUGGGGUAGUGGCUUACCAAGGCUUUGACGGGUAGCCGGCCUGAGAGGGUGACCGGCCACAUUGGGACGGAGAUACGGCCCAGACUCCUACGGGAGGAAGCAGUGGGGAAUAUUGCACAAUGGGCGGAGGCCUGAUGAAGCAACGCCGCGUGCGGGAUGACGGCCUUCGGGUUGUAAACCGCUUUCGCCUGUGACGAAGCGUGAGUGACGGUAAUGGGUAAAGAAGCACCGGCUAACUACGUG